rnacentral:rRNA from 1 species
UACGGGAGGUGCAAGCGUUGUUCGGAUUGACUGGGCGUAAAGAGCACGUAGGCGGGUUUUUAAGUCGGAUGUGAAAGCCCCGGGCUUAACCUGGGAACAGCAUCCGAAACUGGGAAUCUCGAAUGCCCGAGAGGUUGGUAGAAUUCCUGGUGUAGGAGUGAAAUCCGUAGAUAUCAGGAGGAAGAUCGGCGGCGAAGGCGGCCGACUGGUGGAGCAUUGACGCUGAGGUGCGAAAGCGUGGGGAGCAAACAGG